ACAGCUGUGUAUUUUUGUUUACGUUUUUAACAACAUUGCAAAUUUAAAGAAAAAAUGCGUAAACGUGAAUUGCAAUCCAUACCUUUAAAGCUAGCUGAACUUAAGGAGUACGAUGCCCUUAAAGCUGAGCGGGCUUUAAAUAAAAGUAAAAAUACUUCGACAGAUGACACUUCAAAGGAGCCCUCACCAAUAGCUAAUGUUGGACCUAAAACUAAAAAAGAAAUACAAGAUCGUUUAAAUACUACGAUGUGAGAUUAAUAUUGUUUAUGUUUUUUUGUUAUAAACAAAUGUAAAGUGAGGUUAUGUUUGUAUAUUUUUUAAAAUACACUGGAAUAUUUUUUUAUGU